rnacentral:rRNA from 1 species
AUGGACUUCUGCCCGGCGUGCGGGAUGCUGCUGCAGAUCCAGCCGGCCACCGGCGGCCACCGCCUGCGCCUCUUCUGCCCCACCUGCCCGUACGUCUGCCCCAUCAAAAACAAGAUCGUGAAGAAGGCGAGGCUGGUCAAGAGGGAGGUGGAGUCCGCGGAAUCUGCCCCCAAGACUGAGGGUGAGCCCAAGGAAUCGGCCCCCAAGACUGACGGUGAGCCCAAGGCCGAUGGUCAGCUCAAGCAAUCUGCCCCCAAGACUGAGGGUGAGCUCUUCACCCUUCUCUUUUGCUUAGCUACUGCCUACUGGAAUAGUCGAUUGUCCUCACCGCUCAACUGUGUGCAUAACUAG